rnacentral:tRNA from 1 species
GAGGUCGUAGCUCAAUUGGUUAGAGCGUUCGCUUGUGGAGCGAAUGGUUGGGGGUUCAAGUCCCCUCGACCUCC